rnacentral:rRNA from 1 species
GGCCGUACGUUCUCUGCACUACUGGGCGUAAGCGCGCGCAGGCGGUUCCUUGGCUGUGAUGUGAAAGCCCACGGCUCGCCGUGGAGGGUCAUUGGAAACUGGGGAACUUGAGUGCAGAAGAGGAAAGUGGAAUUGCGAGUGUAGCGGUGAACUGUGUACAGAUUUGGAGGAACACCAGUGGCGAAGGCGACUUUCUGGUCUGUAACUGACGCUGAGGCGCGAAAGCGUGGGGAGCAAACAGGAUUACAUACCCUGGUAGUCCACACCGUAAACGAUGAUUGCUAAGUGUUAGAGGGUUUCCGCCCUUUAAUGCUGCAGCAAACGCAUUAAGCACUCCGCCUGGGGAGUACGACCGCAAGGUUGAAACUCAAAGGAAUUGACGGGGGCCCGCACAAGCGGUGGAGCAUGUGGUUUAAUUCAAAACAACGCAAAGAACCUUACCAGGUCUUGACAUCCUCUGACAAUCCUAGAGAUACGACUUUCCCCUUCGGGGGACAGAGUGACAGGUGGUGCAUGGUUGUCGUCAGCUCGUGUCGUGAGAUGUUGGGUUAAGUCCCGCAACGAGCGCAACCCUUGAUCUUAGUUGCCAGCAUUCAGUUGGGCACUCUAAGGUGACUGCCGGUGACAAACCGGAGGAAGGUGGGGAUGACGUCAAAUCAUCAUGCCCCUUAUGACCUGGGCUACACACGUGCUACAAUGGAUGGUACAAAGGGCUGCAAGACCGCGAGGUUUAGCCAAUCCCAUAAAACCAUUCUCAGUUCGGAUUGUAGGCUGCAACUCGCCUACAUGAAGCCGGAAUC